AAGCAAGGGCCUGACACUCUUUGAUAGAGAAAGAUAGUCUUAUUGCGAUUCCUAUAAGAGGAAAGAGAAAAUAGUGCAAUGCUUUGUCUUUAUCACCGACCGGGUUUUUUUUCAUGGUCGGGUUAUGGCAGCUUAGGAAGGAGGCUGAUGGCGAUAUACAAAAAUUUAUAAGAGUGAAAGAGACAAAAUCCCACAAGAUGCCAUACAUUAAACUGUCAAUCAUAUUGUCAAGAGUGCUAGUAAACAAAGUGGUUUUCUUAUUGUAGAGGUUUUAUAAAGUGAAUGAUUGUGUUUAUUAAGUAUUUAAUGGAGGUGUAAGAAGUUUUUACGUACAAUUAACAUGGUGGGGUGUUCAGUGGUUGCCUACAAAAGCAAUAGCUUGCGAAAAUAAGCGGGUGUAACAUUUUAUGCCUUUCCGACGGAGGAUGAAAUUGUUAAAGAAUGGAUUGCGGGAACUAGAAAAUCAAAUUGGAUGCCUCACAAAUACUCGCGUAUUUGUUCCAAACAUUUUGAACAACAUUGUGUCCGCAAACUGGGCAAACGAACUUUCAUCGAAAAGUUUUCUUUUCCAACCUUGUUCAUACACGAGAGGAGAGAGAAAAUUCUUUUCUUCAUCAUGUCAUGGAAAUCGUCCAUUCGUGCACGUCGUCGUCGUGGCAGUCUCAACAGCAUUCUGAAGCUAUUAUUGAACUUCAUAUAAUUGAUCCACAGGUUACAAGUGUAUGUGUAAAUAAAGUUUUCUUGACCCCCACAGUAUGUACAACGCGCAAAAUGUAAGAUUUUUUAUUUAAACAAAUAUUCGGUUUUAAGUAACAGUUUUAAUGUAAAUGACCAUGUUAGCUUAAAAUCAUAUACUGCGAAUCAAUAUUAUAGCUAUAAAUGUCAGUGCGCUAUGUUCCUUUUCAAUAUCCGCAUCGUCCUUUAGAAUUUUAGUAAUUAUGUCCUAGGUAUUAAAAAAUGAACACUCUGCUCAAGGCAAAACCACCGAGUGUCACCGGUUCAACUAUCGGUAGGAUUACCUGCUCGGAAAAUGAGUAUCAUACUUUUUUAGUAAUAUUGAUGAUAUGUACGUGUCAUAAACCUUUAUUAAUUUUUUCAUUCCACUGAUCGACAGCUAAAGAGCACCAUGUCGUCGGCGUUACUUAUGUUUGUAAUUUUUACCACCGGUUGAACAGCCAAUCAUGGUGCUGCUGAGCUCGACAAUCAGCGGAUUAACAUCAAUGAUAAACAGUCGUAGAGUAGUCCUCCACACUGAGCUCUUUAACCGUUCGAGACUACCUAACGAAGCUAAUAUAACAAAAUUUUUCUAACGGUGUGUUUCAGAACCAAAAUAGCACUCUCAGUAGAGCAUUAUCACGAGAAGAAAUCUAAUCAACUUAUUUCUAAAAUAUAUAAAUUUAAUGUUUUCCUACUCAUAAUCACGAGCUCCUUCGAUCCUACUAGAAGAA